rnacentral:rRNA from 1 species
UGCAGUCGAACGAAGUAGCAAUACUUAGUGGCAGACGGGUGAGUAACAUGUGGGUAUCUACCCUUUGGCCUGGAAUAACACGAGGAAACUUGUGCUAAUACCGGAUAAGUCUUUACGGAGAAAGCUUUAUGCACCAUUGGAUGAGCCCGCACUUGAUUAGUUUGUUGGUAGGGUAAUGGCCUACCAAGACUAUGAUCAAUAGCUGAUUUGAGAGGAUGAUCAGCCACAUUGGGACUGAGACACGGCCCAAACUCCUACGGGAGGCAGCAGUGGGGAAUCUUGCACAAUGGAGGAAACUCUGAUGCAGCGACGCCGCGUGAGUGAAGAAGGCCUUUGGGUUGUAAAGCUCUUUCGUCGGGGAAGAAAAUGACUGUACCCGAAUAAGAAGGUCCGGCUAACUUCGUGCCAGCAGCCGCGGUAAUACGAAGGGACCUAGCGUAGUUCGGAAUUACUGGGCUUAAAGAGUUCGUAGGUGGUUGAAAAAGUUGGUGGUGAAAUCCCAGAGCUUAACUCUGGAACUGCCAUCAAAACUUUUCAGCUAGAGUAUGAUAGAGGAAAGCAGAAUUUCUAGUGUAGAGGUGAAAUUCGUAGAUAUUAGAAAGAAUACCAAUUGCGAAGGCAGCUUUCUGGAUCAUUACUGACACUGA